rnacentral:rRNA from 2 species
UGCAGUCGAGCGGUAGCACAGGGAGCUUGCUCCCGGGUGACGAGCGGCGGACGGGUGAGUAAUGUCUGGGAAACUGCCUGAUGGAGGGGGAUAACUACUGGAAACGGUAGCUAAUACCGCAUAACGUCUUCGGACCAAAGUGGGGGACCUUCGGGCCUCAUGCCAUCAGAUGUGCCCAGAUGGGAUUAGCUAGUAGGUGGGGUAAAGGCUCACCUAGGCGACGAUCCCUAGCUGGUCUGAGAGGAUGACCAGCCACACUGGAACUGAGACACGGUCCAGACUCCUACGGGAGGCAGCAGUGGGGAAUAUUGCACAAUGGGCGCAAGCCUGAUGCAGCCAUGCCGCGUGUAUGAAGAAGGCCUUCGGGUUGUAAAGUACUUUCAGCGAGGAGGAAGGUGUUGUGGUUAAUAACCACAGCAAUUGACGUUACUCGCAGAAGAAGCACCGGCUAACUCCGUGCCAGCAGCCGCGGUAAUACGGAGGGUGCAAGCGUUAAUCGGAAUUACUGGGCGUAAAGCGCACGCAGGCGGUUUGUUAAGUCAGAUGUGAAAUCCCCGGGCUCAACCUGGGAACUGCAUUUGAAACUGGCAAGCUUGAGUCUCGUAGA